rnacentral:rRNA from 1 species
UUUGAGGAAAGCCGGGAGGGGUCAUUACCGAGUUUACAACUCCCAAACCCCUGUGAACAUACCAAUUGUUGCCUCGGCGGAUCAGCCGCUCCCGGUAAAACGGGACGGCCCGCCAGAGGACCCCUAAACUCUGUUUCUAUAUGUAACUUCUGAGUAAAACCAUAAAUAAAUCAAAACUUUCAACAACGGAUCUCUUGGUUCUGGCAUCGAUGAAGAACGCAGCAAAAUGCGAUAAGUAAUGUGAAUUGCAGAAUUCAGUGAAUCAUCGAAUCUUUGAACGCACAUUGCGCCCGCCAGUAUUCUGGCGGGCAUGCCUGUUCGAGCGUCAUUUCAACCUCAAGCCCAGCUUGGUGUUGGGACUCGCGAGUUAAACCGCGUUCCCCAAAUUGAUUGGCGGUCACGUCGAGCUUCCAUAGCGUAGUAGUAAAACCCUCGUUACUGGUAAUCGUCGCGGCCACGCCGUUAAACCCCAACUUCUGAAUGUUGACCUCGGAUCAGGUAGGAAUACCCGCUGAACUUAAGCAUAUCAAUAAGCGGAGGAAA